ensembl:lncRNA
GGGAUGGCAGAGGUGAGCCAACCAGAGCUGCCGCUGUCCCACCAGCCAGAGGACUGUGCCACUCCCCUGUUUGACUUGGGGGCUUUAAGCUAAUUCCUGUCUUGAGGGGAGAGUAGUUCAAACUCACCAGCUUGACUCCUGGGCCUCCUCAGUAGACAGGACCUGGCCGCUCCCAGCUGAGGGUCUCUGCCGGCCGCCAGCAGUUCUGAGGGGAGAUUCGGAGCAUAAUCACAGUGACGGUGUGGGCAGCUGAAGAGCCUGACAGCGGUUCCCUGUCACCCCAAUACCUCCCUUGCACACCUGAAGUUUCUGGGAAGCUUCUGUUGGAAGCUAAGAGCUCAGUGUGCCCAGCUCAGGGUUUCCUCGUGCCCAGCCAGUGAGUCUGGCCACCGGGAAAACCCCCAAAGCCUCUUGCCCACAGUCCCCACUUGGAGCAUUUCUGACCCCAGAGCUGUACCAGGCCCUGCUCUGGUAGAAGCCCCUGGCCUGCCCAGUCCGUCACGGGCAUCACUGUGACUCUGCUUCCUUCCAGAUGGCUUCCCACCCUCAUGCUGCUCUCAUUCCUGGGCCAGGAGCCAGCUUCCUUCCAUACCUGCCCCACCUUCUCCCCACCCUCUUAUAUCACUAAGGCUUCUGAAACCUUCAGCCUCAGACUCAACACCUGAAACCUUCUGUUACCUCCUGACCACCCUCUUAUAUCACUAAGGCUUCUGAAACCUUCAGCCUCAGACUCAACACCGGAAACCUUCCGUUACCUUCUGACCACCCUCUUAUAUCACUAAGGCUUCUGAAAACUUCAGCCUCAGUCUCAACACCUGAAAGCUUCCGUUACCUCCUGAUGAUUCCCUUUGACGUCUCUCAUUGUUCAAGUCCUUUUGAUGGAGAGGGAUUUUCUCAUCUACCUCUUCUCUCAGGCUUCGGAAGAGGGACAGUGAGCUCCUGGCUCUGGGAUGCCACUUUGCGUCACCACUCUGUUCAGCAAUCACUCUUCUGUAGCUCCAUCUACCCUGGCUCCCACCCUCAACAUCACCACCAGCAUCGGAAGCAUCACCAGCUCUCAGGACACUAGUGUACUUGGCCUUAAGCUCCAUCUUCCUCUCCAUCCACAGCCCCUCAGCAUCCACUGGGGCUUCAUUCUUUCCAAUUUCCACUUACAGGUGUCCUCCCACCCCAACCCUGGCCUCUUCCUAAACAUGUGAGAUCUGUGUUGAAGCAUGGUUUUGGAAUUUUGAAAAUAUGAUUCUCAUACACAGUAUGCAUGCUAAGUUGCUUCAGUCAUGUCUGACUCUUUAUGACCCCAUGGACUGUAGCCUGCCAGGCUCCGCUGUCCAUGGGAUUCUCCAGGCAACAACACUGGAGUGGGUUGCUAUGCCCUCCUCCAGGGGAUCUUCCCGACCUGGGAUCGAACUCAGGUCUCCUGCAUCUCCUGCACUGGCAGAUAGAUCUCCUCACCUGGAGAGGUCCCCGGAGAGGCCAGGGUCUCCAAAAAGCCCAGCAGACCUGCACCCAGGACCCUUCAGGACCAUCCUGAUGAUGCCUCUGAUGCUCUGUGGCUUCCUGGGGCCUUGGGC